GCAGUGUCGCAUCACCGCCAGGCCUCGUGUCCCUCCAGGGCUCGGGCCCCAUGGCUCUGCCCUCCCUCCCGCUGCAGAUGGUAGCUGAUCACCCGUGUCCUGCCAGGAGCACACUCCAGCGCCAGGGACAUCACAAUUAGGAUGCUUGAGGACAGAAUGUCACCUGAAUGAGCUACUCCCUACACUAACCAGAAGGUGACUGGACAAUUUACAUCUGUGUACUUACUGAAAGGAAGGCUGAAGAGUCCUUUAUGUUGCCCGGUUUAGGGAGAAGCUGGAGUUUCAUUUGCCAUCAAAACAUGACCCCUGCUGGAGAACCAAGGAUGUGACUUUCAGUUAUUCAUAUGGACAGCCCCACACGGAGAAUGGCAGAGAUGUGAUUAAUGUGAUAUGAUACAGCUGUCACUGGCUGCAGGAAAUCACAGACUACUAAAGAAAGGUCGGCUUAAAAAGAAUUCUUAAAGUAUUCACCCAACUGCAAAGGAUAAGGUGUGUGUGCUGUGGGAAGGAACUCACAUUCCUGGGAUGUGAAGGUAGAGGCGGUGGCUGGAUACCCAGGGAUUUGGCUAAGAACUGAAAGCUUUGGGGAACAGAGAAGGUGUCAACAGCAGAGACUGCUGUAGUAUCCUCAGAGCCAGGUGAGUGUGGCAGUGGAAUUGGAUGAGACCCUGUGCAGCAAUCAGAGGAAGCCAGUGAAUUCCAGUGGGUGCUGCAGGACCACAAAAGAUGUUCCUGUAGAAGGAGUCCCCAGCAGUGCCAUGUUCUGCUUGUUUGGUGCAAAGGGACCCUUGCGCUAAGCUGGUUUUUAACCAUGAUUCUAAAAGGUUUCAAUAAGUAGCUCUUACCAGGAAAAGCUGAUGUUUGUCAGAUAAAGGAGCAUGCUGUAUGGUUUUGGCUGUUACCAGCUGUACUGGAUAUAUGUGUCAAUGGGUGCAGUGGCUGACAGGGCCCAGCCUGGUAGCAGAGCAGGAGCUGCUCAUACAGAAUGGCUCAGACUGGAGCAGAGCUCCCGUGGGAUCCCAGAACUGACAGCUCAGGGCAGCCUGAAUUCCCAGCUGGCCUCACACAGAAACUGGGGCCAUCUUCUUCCAGGCCUCUGCUGAGUAUUUCAGGUUGCAAACAGCCCUGAGGUUUCUGUAUCCCAUGGGAUGCACUGUGGGAUUGCUCCUUUAAUACCUGGUAGGAGAACAGCUAUUGAAGCACGAACCAGGGGCUGCCACAUCACCUUUAGUCAAAGGGUUAAGGUUCAGUGUCAAAAUAGGGAAAUGGAAGCUGCAUAAUUUUAUAAAUCCUGCUUUGUUGUCAAAGACCAAAGACUUCCUGUUUGGUGAUCCAGGGCUGUUUCCAUUUCCACUGUGAAUGGUGAGAGACUGCCCAUAAACCUCAUGUUUACUUCACAGUUUCUGAUGCUUUCUACAUGUGCUGAAACAGCUUUCAGGCGGCCAUGACAUUGUGUCAAAAAGAGAUGGCAGUUGGGAAAAGUAGUUUAAUGUCAGCCUAGUCUUAAAAAGCAUUUUCUUUAUUGGAGUUAAAGAGCUAUCACCACAGUGCCACACACAUUUGUUGUACAUAUUCCACUAUUGUUACAGAUCAACUGAGAUUUCAGUGUUUUCAUUCAGUUCUUCUUUACAGUCCUCAUGGAACGCAAUAU